GGUAGGGCUGGUGGUGCCUGGGUCACCUUCUCGGGCUGCUUUCUUCUUCCCAGCUGCAGUUCUGGUUCCUCUCCUCAGCUGCAAUUCGGGUUCCUCUCCUCUUCCCAGCUGUAAUUUGGGUUCCUCUCUUCUUCCCAGCUGUAAUUUGGGUUCCUCUCCUCUCUCCAGCUGGAAUUGGGGUUCCUCCCCUCUCUCCAGCUGCAAUUCAGGUUCCUCUCCUCUUCCCAGCUGGAAUUGGGGUUCCUCUCUUCUUCCCAGCUGGAAUUGGGGUUCCUCUCCUCUCUCCAGCUGCAAUUCUGGUUCCUCUCCUCUCUCCAGCUGGAAUUCUGGUUCCUCUCCUCUCUCCAGCUGCAAUGCCAGGCCCACAGCUGUGUCCAGCCCCUGUGCUCAUGUCCUGGCCCAGGAGGGAUUUCUGGCAGGGCUGGAGGAUCUGCCAUGGCCUUGUCUCCAUUUGGGUUCUUGGCAGGGACCUUCCAUGGCCCCAUUCCCACGCCAGGUCCUGGAAGGACUCUCAGGGAUGUUCCACAGCCCCAUCUCCACCCCAAAUCCUGACAGGGCUCUCAGGGAUCUCUCCAUGUCCCCAUUCCCACCCCAGAGCUCUCAAGGACGUUCCACAGCCCCAUUCCCACCCGAGCUCUCAGGGACCUGUCCGCGUUCCUGUUCCCACCACAGGUCCUGGCAUGGUUCUCAAGGGACAUUGCACAGCCCCAUUCCCACCCCAAAUCCUAACAGGGCUCUCAGGGAUCUCUCCAUGUCCCCAUUCCCACCACAGGUCCUGGCAGGAUUCUCAGGAACCUCUCCAUAUCCAGAUUCCCACCCCAAGGCUCUCAGAAACAUUCCACUGACCCAUUCCCCCCACAGGUCCUGGCAGGGCUCUCAGGGAUGUUCCACAGCCCCAUCUCCUCCCCAGAUCCUACCAGGGCUCUCAGGAUCUCUCCAUGUCCCCAUUCCCACCACAGGUCCUGGCAGGGCUCUCAAGGUACAUUCCACCGCCCCAUUCCCACCCCAGGUCCUGGAAGGACUCUCAGGGAUGUUCCACAGCCCCAUCUCCACCCCAGAUCCUAACAGGGCUCUCAGGGAUCUCUCCAUGUCCCCAUUGCCACCACAGGUCCUGGCAGGAUUCUCAGGAACCUCUCCAUAUCCAGAUUCCCACUCCAAGGCUCUCAGGGAUGUUCCACAGCCCCAUCUCCACCCCAAAUCCUAACAUGGCUCUCAGGAUCUCCAUGUCCCCAUUGCCCCCACAGGUCCUGGCAGGGCUGUGGAGGGUCCCUGCUGCCUGUCCCUGCUCUGCUGUCCCUGUCCCAGCCGUUCCCCCGGUGCUCACCAGAGCCUUUCCCCGUUUCUCCCCUCCCUGUGUUGGA